AUUGAACGCUGGCGGAAUGCUUUACACAUGCAAGUCGAGCGGCAGCACGGGGGCAACCCUGGUGGCGAGCGGCGAACGGGGGAGUAAUACAUCGGAACAUGCCCAGUCGUGGGGGAUAACACUUCGAAAGAAGUGCUAAUACCGCAUACGUCCUGAGGGAGAAAGCGGGGGAUCUCCGGACCUCGCGCGAUUGGAGUGGCCGAUGGCAGAUUAGCUAGUUGGUGGGGUAAAGGCCUACCAAGGCAACGAUCUGUAGCUGGUCUGAGAGGAUGAUCAGCCACACUGGGACUGAGACACGGCCCAGACUCCUACGGGAGGCAGCAGUGGGGAAUUUUGGACAAUGGGGGAAACCCUGAUCCAGCCAUUCCGCGCGAGUGAAGAAGGCCUUCGGGUUGUAAAGCUCUUUCGGCAGGAACGAAACGGCGAGCUCUAACAUAGCUUGCUAAUGACGGUACCUGAAGAAGAAGCACCGGCUAACUACGUGCCAGCAGCCGCCGUAACAC
rnacentral:rRNA from 1 species